rnacentral:rRNA from 1 species
UUCGGGUUGUAAAGCACUUUCAGUAGGGAGGAAGGUAGUGUAGUUAACACCUGCAUUAUUUGACGUUACCUACAGAAGAAGCACCGGCUAACUCCGUGCCAGCAGCCGCGGUAAUACGGAGGGUGCGAGCGUUAAUCGGAAUUACUGGGCGUAAAGCGCAUGCAGGCGGCCUGUUAAGUCAGAUGUGAAAGCCCGGGGCUUAACCUCGGAAUUGCAUUUGAAACUGGCAGGCUAGAGUCUUGUAGAGGGGGUAGAAUUUCAGGUGUAGCGGUGAAAUGCGUAGAGAUCUGAAGGAAUACCAGUGGCGAAGGCGGCCCCCUGGACAAAGACUGACGCUCAGAUGCGAAAGCGUGGGGAGCAAACAGGAUUAGAUACCCUGGUAG